AGUAGACUGAUGCAUGGAUCAUUUUUCUUUUGGAUAGAUGGGUCUUGAGUCUACAUUAUGAGAACACUAGAGUGAGAGUAUAGAUGGUUGUUAGAGAACAACAGUAUUGAGUUUGAUCAAGAAUAAGAAGUCAUAUAGAUAGCUACUCACUCAUCAGUAACUUCUUGAUGCUGUGGUUGUGUGAGUGAUUUUUUGACCUACGAUGCCUCG
rnacentral:lncRNA from 1 species